GGGGAUUUAGCUCAGCGGUGUAAGCGCCUGCCUGGCAGGUGUGAGGUCGUGAGCUCAAUCCCCA
rfam:Cavia porcellus supercont2_264 genomic scaffold, whole genome shotgun sequence.